rnacentral:rRNA from 1 species
UUCCCCCCGCGGUCCUUUUUUUUAAAGUUAAAAAAUGUAACAAGGUUUCCGUAGGUGAACCUGCGGAAGGAUCAUU